rfam:Schistosoma margrebowiei strain Zambia genome assembly, scaffold: SMRZ_scaffold0000013
AUUCAAUUGAUGAAUCCCAAAUAGGACGAAACGCGCGUCUUGAAU